rnacentral:rRNA from 1 species
AUUGAACGCUGGCGGCGUGCCUAACACAUGCAAGUCGAGCGGUAACAGGUGUAGCAAUACAUGCUGACGAGCGGCGGACGGGUGAGUAACGCUUGGGAAUCUGCCUAUUAGUGGGGGACAACCCGGGGAAACUCGGGCUAAUACCGCAUACGCUCUACGGAGGAAAGCCGGGGACCGCAAGGCCUGGCGCUAAUAGAUGAGCCCAAGUCGGAUUAGCUAGUUGGUAGGUAAUGGCCUACCAAGGCGACGAUCCGUAACUGGUCUGAGAGGACGACCAGUCACACCGGAACUGAGACACGGUCCGGACUCCUACGGGAGGCAGCAGUGGGGAAUAUUGGACAAUGGGCGAAAGCCUGAUCCAGCGACGCCGCGUGGGUGAAGAAGGCCUGCGGGUUGUAAAGCCCUUUCAGUGGGGAAGAAAAGCCUCGACCUAACACGUCGGGGUCUUGACGUAACCCAUAGAAGAAGCACCGGCUAACUCUGUGCCAG